rnacentral:rRNA from 1 species
AUUGAACGCUGGCGGUACGCUUAACACAUGCAAGUCGAACGGCAGCAUGGUCUAGCUUGCUAGACUGAUGGCGAGUGGCGGACGGGUGAGUAACGCGUAGGAAUAUGCCUUGAAGAGUGGGACAACUUGGGGAAACUCAAGCUAAUACCGCAUAUACUCGAGAGAGUAAAGCUGGGGACCUUUAGGCCUGGCGCCUUAAGAUUAGCCUGCGUCCGAUUAGCUAGUUGGUAGGGUAAAGGCCUACCAAGGCGACGAUCGGUAGCUGGUCUGAGAGGAUGAUCAGCCACACUGGAACUGAGAGACGGUCCAGACUCCUACGGGAGGCAGCAGUGGGGAAUAUUGGACAAUGGGGGGAACCCUGAUCCAGCAAUGCCGCGUGUGUGAAGAAGGCCUGAGGGUUGUAAAGCACUUUCAGUGGGGAGGAGGUUUGGAAGGUUAAGAGCUAUUCAAAUGGACGUUACCCACAGAAGAAGCACCGGCUAACUCCGUGCCAGCAGCCGCAGUAA